rnacentral:rRNA from 1 species
UCCUACGGGAGGCAGCAGUGAGGAAUAUUGGUCAAUGGACGCAAGUCUGAACCAGCCAUGCCGCGUGCAGGAUGACGGCUCUAUGAGUUGUAAACUGCUUUUGUACGAGGGUAAACGCAGAUACGUGUAUCUGUCUGAAAGUAUCGUACGAAUAAGGAUCGGCUAACUCCGUGCCAGCAGCCGCGGUAAUACGGAGGAUUCAAGCGUUAUCCGGAUUUAUUGGGUUUAAAGGGUGCGUAGGCGGUUUGAUAAGUUAGAGGUGAAAUUUCGGGGCUUAACCCUGAACGUGCCUCUAAUACUGUUGAGCUAGAGAGUAGUUGCGGUAGGCGGAAUGUAUGGUGUAGCGGUGAAAUGCUUAGAGAUCAUACAGAACACCGAUUGCGAAGGCAGCUUACCAAACUAUAUCUGACGUUGAGGCACGAAAGCGUGGGGAGCAAACAGGAUUAGAUACCCUGGUAGUCCACGCAGUAAACGAUGAUAACUCGCUGUCGGCGAUACACAGUCGGUGGCUAAGCGAAAGCGAUAAGUUAUCCACCUGGGGAGUACGUUCGCAAGAAUGAAACUCAAAGGAAUUGACGGGGGCCCGCACAAGCGGAGGAACAUGUGGUUUAAUUCGAUGAUACGCGAGGAACCUUACCCGGGCUUGAAAGUUAGCGACGAUUCUUGAAAGAGGAUUUCCCUUCGGGGCGCGAAACUAGGUGCUGCAUGGUUGUCGUCAGCUCGUGCCGUGAGGUGUCGGGUUAAGUCCCAUAACGAGCGCAACCCCUACCGUUAGUUGCCAUCAGGUGAAGCUGGGCACUCUGGCGGGACUGCCGGUGUAAGCCGAGAGGAAGGUGGGGAUGACGUCAAAUCAGCACGGCCCUUACGUCCGGGGCUACACA